rnacentral:rRNA from 1 species
GAGACUCUGUGCGCGUGCAUAUCAAUAAGCGGAGGAAAAGAAACUAACUAAGGAUUCCCUUAGUAACGGCGAGUGAAGCGGGAAGAGCUCAAAUUUGAAAUCUUCAAGGUUCUACCUUGACGAAUUGUAGUUUAAAGAAGUGUUUUCUGUUGGAGUUUUGGUAAAAAGUUCUUUGGAAUAGGACAUCAUAGAGGGUGAGAAUCCCGUAUUUGACCGUUACUUUCCAGCUGUGUGAUACACUUUCAAAGAGUCGGAUUGUUUGGGAAUGCAGUCCAAAAUGGGUGGUAAAUUUCAUCUAAAGCUAAAUAUUGGCGAGAGACCGAUAGCGAACAAGUACCGUGAGGGAAAGAUGAAAAGAACUUUGAAAAGAGAGUUAAACAGUACGUGAAAUUGUCAAAAAGGGAAGCGUUUGACACCAGUGUUGUUUAGUUGAAAAUCAAUUCAAUAGUUUUUGAUUCUAAGUAGUAUUGACUUCAUCAGCUUGCUGCUUUCUUCUCAGAAAUUAUUGAAUGCACUUUUCAGUUAACAAGUCAACAUCAAUUUCUUUUGUUGUAAAAGGGUAAGAGGAAGGUGGCUUGCGCUUCGGCUCAAGUGUUUAUAGCCUUUUAUCUCUGCAAUCGGAGAGAUUGAGGUCUGCAGCGUAGAUCCUUCGGGGUUAGAUACAUUGGUGCUAAGCUAUAGCCUUGUAUAGACAACUUGUUGACUAUGCUCAGUCAUGUAGCUUACUCGCUGAUGCUAUUUUACCUACGCUUAGGAUGUUGACAGCAGUAUAGACUGU